AAACUGUGAGUUUGGGGAUUGUUGUGUCCAGUAACCGGACUCAGAAGGGACUUCCCUGCUCGGCUGGCUCUCGGUUUCUCUGCUCACCUCCGGAUAAAUUACGGGGUCUCCCGCGCCGCGCAUGGCGCCUCCCGUCCGUCUGGAGCGUCCCUUUCCUUCCCGGCGCUUUCCCGGGUUGCUUCUGGCGGCCCUGGUGUUGCUGCUGUCCUCCUUCUCCGAUCAAUGCAGUGUCCCAGAAUGGCUUCCAUUUGCCAGGCCUACCAACCUAACUGAUGAGUUUGAGUUUCCCAUUGGGACAUAUCUGAACUAUGAAUGCCGCCCUGGUUAUUACGGAAGACCGUUUUCUAUCAUCUGCCUAAAAAACUCAACUUGGACAAGUGCUAAGGACAAGUGCAGACGUAAAUCCUGUCAUAAUCCUCCAGAUCCUGUGAAUGGCAUGGUGCAUGUGAUCAAAGACAUCCAGUUCGGAUCCCAAAUUAAAUAUUCUUGUACUAAAGGAUACCGACUCAAUGGUUCCUCGUCUGCCACAUGCAUCAUCUCAGGCAAUACUGUCAUUUGGGAUAAUGAAACACCUGUUUGUGACAGUGAGUUGAAAUAUGCCUUCUUAUUUCUUUUGCCGAUACAUUCUAAUUUUUCUCUGGAAUAAUAAAAAUCUUAACCGAA
rnacentral:sRNA from 1 species